ensembl:lncRNA
CAUUUAAUUUCAUUUCAUUUCAUUUCAUAUUUUUACUUCUUCUAAUAUCCUUUACUUACUGCUCUGGCACCCCUGAAUUUCCCAUUUGGGUUCAAUAAAAGAAUAAAAAAUAUUGGCCUUACCUGGCCCAAAACCCCUCUUACACGUUGCGUUACCUGUUAUUGGAGAGGUAGACAUUUUAUGUUAUACAAUCAUGUUUUUUGGAAUAUAAUAAGUAUGCAUGUUAAGGGCCUAUAUAAUUAUUUUAAUAGACGUUAUAUUGUAAAUCAUUAUCAGAAUGAUAUAAUUAUUGCUAUUAUAAAUAUAAUUCCAUAUUGUUAAUCACCUUCGACACAGGUACCGCUCUCAGUGUUGACGGCCACCUGGCUGUAGAACGCCUCUUCAGGCGCUCUAGAAGCUUUUGAUGUCCUGUCAAACCCAAUCGUCCCAUUGGUCCCAUUGUAUGAAGAGAAAUCCGUCGCCAGGCAGGCUUUGGUUCCAUUACUUCCUAGUUGGUAGUAUUUAGGCUCUUUUUCUGGCCCCUCUGUAAAAUACAACACACAUCACACUCGUUGAUAUUUGUUUGAAACAUUUGGAUGAAAGGUGGUGUCUUUGGAAAACGCGUACAAACAGGGUAACCCUUCAAGUCUGACAUUAUUGCGAAUGACGGCCUUCUAAAAAAUCCAGCAGACCAUCCUACAAAAAGAUAGAUCUUUGAAAUAGUCAGUGUAAAUAUUCACAAUAUUUAUUGCUGCUGUCCAUUUUUUUGUAAGACCAAAAUAAACUUUGAUUUCUUUAGGCACAGUACAUACAUCUUUAUAGUCUUUAAAUAUGCAACUUAUCAACUUACUUGAUGCAACAAUGACUUUGGCUCCAGAUCCAAAUUCAAGUUUAAAGUUGUUGCUAUUCACACAAUAAAUUAGCUCAGUUCAAAAACUGUGAUUUGUUGAUGGAUGUACAUAUUAAUACGUGAAUAUGAAUAAAUAAAAUCUUUGGCAUAUUGUUUGUAUAUAAUUUGUUGCUGCAAAGCAUCUAUCAACAAUAUAAUAGUAUAUCUAAUUCAGAAGUAUUUUCUUACUAACCACAGAAAACGAUUCUCCUUUCUAACCAGCUUCUUUUAAUCAAUUUAAUAAAACCGAAUAUCUGUAAUAAGUAUGCAUAGUAAGAUACAUUACAUUUAGUGAAGAAGGAAAACAUCUUCAUUGCUUUACGCAUGGUGGUUUUAAUCAGUUUUACUUUUGCCUGUUGAAUGUAAUGGCUACAAUUAAGUCAAUGCUACUAAUACAAUGUUGAUAAAAAAUGAGUUCAUUAACGUGAAACAAAGUUCUCCGUAUGGUUUUCUCUCUUGUUUCGACCAUAAACCGGAUUCCACUACAAUUUUUUUUUAUAUAUAUAUAUCCAGCGGCAUUCACAGUCAUAGACAAGAGUACAACAACUGUAUUUUGAAGCUUUUCUUCAACCAUUUAUUUUUCCUUUAUUUUCUUUUUAAUAAAUUCAAAUGUAUGUUUAUUUAAUUAAAUUACAAGACUAAACUAAUUAAUUAACGACUGUAGAAACCUAUUGGGGUAUAUUUAUGUUUUAUUUUCUUCUUUCUCGUUUUAUUUACGUUUUCUAUUUUCAGACGAGGAAAUUUGUGAUUGUGGCAAAUAAUUACCAUUACUUAAGACAUAGUUUUAAAUUAAUCAAUUCAUAUAUUUUAAUAAUAGAUUAUGUUGGGAUCGGUUUUCUCUAUCAAUGUCACCAAAUAUUGAGAUUCAGAUUGUAACGUACGGAGGAGCGAUUUAAAAAGUUUUUGCAAGGACAAAAUUGACUUACUUGAGACAACUUUAAUGGUUGUACCAACCCCAAAAAGAAGAUUGUACUUUCCUGAGCCAGUCACACAUUAAAGAACCCUGCUACAAAUACCAAGGAGUAUUCAAACUACUGAACAAAACUUUUGUCAGCUCUCCUUAUAGUUAUUUAUCGAUUAUGGUCAUUGUAUUCAUUAAGAAAAUUAAUUGGAUGAUCAAACCUCAAACUUUGAGUGACCUAUGUAAGCUCUUUUUUUUUUUAAAGUGGAACUCAGCUAUUUUCUCAUAAUCACAAAUCAAGACCAAUAUAUUGAAUUAUACAUUGAUGUUCCUCAAAGUUAUUUACUUACUUUACUUUGUUUCAAAGACUAGUUUGGGGGCAUAUUUGUCACAUAACAGUCACAUAAUAGAUUUUCUCUGAAUGUAAACCAAUUAAUUAUCUACAUGCUGAUAAAUAUUUGGAAUUCCUGUGAAUUUUAUUUAGAAAAAGGUAAGUCAAGGUCAAGGUAAGUUUAAAUAAUUCUUACUUGACUCUAUUAGGAGUUUUGUUCCUCUUCCAAAGAUCAAGUUCUGACCUCCGUCAUUCACACUGUGCUUCAAACUGGUUCAAAAACUCAACACCAAAUCAUGUAUUUGUCACGUUAGUAAGAAAAUACAUGGUUAAUUAUUAUAUUUGUCUGGAAUCAUUUAUCUACAGUAGCUUUGCUCCUGUUCUCAAAAUAUCAUAACUAUCAAAUCUAUUUGUGGCGUGCUGUCCUGUAUGUUUAGCUGCAGAAAAAAUUGACAUUGUCAGAAACUAUUUUGUAAUACAGUAAUUAGUUCAGCUAGCAUAGAAAAAUGAUUAUUUCAAACCUUUGAAAAUACAUUGUCUACUUUAAUUGAGGAGUUCUCUGGAUUCCAAGGAUCAUUCUGACUUGAUCAGUAACAAAUGAAUAAGUAAAUAGAGUUUGUAGUUAAACUUUACCGCCAAUGAAACGGUUCUGCAGUCCAACAUUAACAAUAAGGAAACUAAAUUAAAGUCCAUCUGAGGUAUUCGUAGCAGUAAAACAGUAAACCAACAUCUAGUGAUGACAUUGUAUAUUGCUAGACGCUUAGACUGAAUUUUGCAAUUAAAAUAUAUAUUUGGCUAAAGACUUUGGGCAUACCUGUUCCCCGGUUUUCUCAAACAACACCACUAAAUAGUUUGGCUUCAAUUCAAUUUGCAAAGAUAAAACACCAUGGGCCGAUUAAAAAGAUACAUUCAGGAUGGUUUUAACUUACUUGAAUAAACUAUGAGUUUUGUACCAGUCCCAAAGAGCAAUUUCCCAACUCCUGAGGUAGUCACACAUUAAGAAGCCCUGCUACAAAUACCUAAUGAUGUUACUGACUUGGAAUUUAAAAUGUAUGGAAUUCCGUGAACAACAGAAUAUUUUAGUCAUUCAUAAUUGGGACAUUUCUGACAUCCGUGUGUACCAUUACUCCCUGUCAUCUACCUUAAUGUAAAAAAUUAAAAUUAGAUUUUCCAAAACUCACUUGUUCAACGGCAAACAGCCAAACAUGUCAAAAUGCAGUUAAAUCUAAUUCUAAAUCAACAUUUCAAAAUAAGCCUUACUGUCAUUUUGAGGCCUGACACCCUGACAUUUUGUAACAAAAACAAAUAUUUUCAAAUAUUUGUUCUAUGUUUAAAGUACAUUUCAGGGUACUUGGAAAUCAACUUUCAUUAAUAAAUACAAUAUAAAUCUCUUCCGGUGUAAAGGAUGCAUUUCUAGAUUUAUUUACUUACUACAAUUUAACAAUUCAAAUAUUCUUACUGGACUCUAUCAAGAGUUUUGUUCCUCUUCCAAAAAUCUGUUUGCGUGUUCCAUCAUUCACACUGUGCUUGGAACUGGUUCAAUAACCACUCCUGGUCUCAACAAAAUUUGAGCUAAUAUCAAAGGCUAUUGGGUUGUAAAUCCAUACAAUGCAGACCAAAAACAACGAUUAAGUUAAUGGUUGAUUUCCUUUGUAAAAUGAUGAAUUGGAUGCCAGACACAAAUAGGGAGUUUUAGAAAGUUACACAUUACAAAAAAACAGGUCCAGAAAAUUGGAAAUGUCCUUGGAUGUGCGUAUUGGAACUAUCACUAUCAUAGGAUUAUAUUAUUGUUAUGUCCAUAUUUCUAGCAGGUUUUUGGAUAAUUUACAUUUAGCUUUUGGUUACAUUUAACCCUGGUAUUUAUAGUAGUUGAUUGUAUGAUAAUUGAACAACAUUGACACAAUAAUACUAUUUAGUGUUACUUUUAUCUAACUAGAUCAAUUUGAGCAUGGACAUCCACAAAGUCUUAGAAACUAUUAUUUUACAAUAUGCAAUUUCUACUUCCAAAUGUCAAUUUAAAAUAAUGUAAUUGGUUUAAAACUUUAAAAAUACUACAAGAUUAAAAAUAUUUAGCAUCCUGUGAUGAUCCUGAAUGUGAUCAUACCCAUAUGAAUGUGAUCAUACUCACUGGUUUCAAUUACUAAUUUAGUUGCUGCUCCAAAAAUGACCCUACUGCCUGCUGCAUUACUCACACAGUGUUAAGCUACAGACCAAAAUCUAACUUGUUGGAACAAGAACUUGGAAUUUAGUACAGAAAUUGUGAUUUAACGAGGUUAAAGCCUCACUGAUGCAUUAACAACGAAUUCCAAUAAGGCUGUAUGUGUUAUUGUCAUCAAUAAUAAAUAGAAGUGCAAAGUUGGUUUUCAUUUUAAUUUGUCCACUGCCAAAGAAUAUGUUUCUACAGACCAACCGUAACACAGAAGAAUAUAGGCUGAAAUAAUAAAAUAACUAUGUAGUGUUAAAACAAGUUCCAGGGUUGAAUCUCAUGAAUAUGCGCAUGACAUUAAUACAUGUAGCACAUGGACUAUGGGGUUCAUUACAUAUAUUGGCCUAUUAAUCCAUUUGGAUGUAAUGGCAAUCAAAUUCUACAAACCAUCCCUUUAGACUAAAUGUCAAUGUUUCUUCAUUUUCAAAAGAGUAAUGAACAUGAUUAAAUUAUUAAAAGUGAGUACACCAUGUAAAGACCAAUGAGCACAAGGAUUAAUAAGUAGGUUCAGUAUGGAAACAAAAUAAUUGUCUGUUAAUAUACAUUAUCAUUGUUUGAUUAACUUAGAUAAAGAUAAACUUACGUGAAUGGACAAUGAGGUUUGCCCCAGUCCCAAAGAUGAGUUUGUUAUUUGAGCCAGUCACACACUAAUAUAGCAUGUUACAAAUACCUGAGACAGACUUCAUGGGGGACAAUGUGUUUAGGUUUUAGUAUAGUCCGCAAUAUAGGAUGGAUCAUUUACAGAAAUCAGUUCUUAUAUUUUCACUUGCAUAUUACUGAUCAGUUCUUCUACUACUACUACUCCUACUACUACUACUACUUAUACUACUAGUACUACUACUACACCACUAUCAAAACCACGAAUGACACAUACUUUAACUUUGUAAUGAGAAGAGUUCGACAUUCAUAUUCAACCUGAGUAUGCCUACACUUAUCAUUUAAGCUAAUAUCUGAAAGAAUUGUACUUACUGGACUCAACAACCAAUUUGAUUCCUUCUCCCAGAACAAACUUCCCUACCCCAGCCCAGUCACGCAACAUAUUUUCUCUGAACAAUAUCUGCUAUGUUGAACAUACCAUGUCGCCUUGAUGAUCAUAUAAUCUGCUAACAGUAAUGCAUCUACAUAUGCUUUUUAUAAAAAAAAAUAUAAGAUUUGUAUUAUAUCCAUCUUAAUGUGUAUAUUUUGCAAUAUUUAAAUGCAAUUUUUAAAUACCAAAAUACAUUUGAUCUUCUUAACCCUUUAUGAAAUGUCAAAAUAUCAAAUAUCUGCAAAUAUCUGCUUAUAAUUUGAAGUGCUAUUACCUGUUGUAUUAGCUUACAUCCAAGUGCUAGUUUGUGUUUGACAUUUCUUAUCUGUUUACUUGGUACUCACUGGUCUCAACAACUAGUUUGGUCCCUGAUGCGAAGUAAAUCUUCCAGCCUGACCCAGUAGUCACACAGUGGUUCCCACCCAACUUAAAACACUAUGGAUUCAUUUCAAGUUUGAGUUUAAAUUAAUUUCUGUCCACUUAAAACAUUGCUUAUUUCAGUUAAUACAGACUCAUCCCAAAAUCAGCAUCAUCCCUAUCAACAUCAACUAGUAAUAAGUUGUGUAUGUAAAUUGAAUUGAUGCUAUAAAUGUAUUGCGACUGCUUUAUGUUUUAUUUUUUUUUGUUUGUUAUUUUGUUUUUAUGUUGUUUUUUUGUGCUGUCUUAGAUGGAAGCUGGUCAUCUCUUAUUUCAUUACACACUGAUUUUAAACUAACAUGUUACUUUAAUGAUUGUUUGAACUAUCAAGGGACUGGUGUUGGAAAUGAGCCUUGGCAUAUAGCCUUGUACAUAGCUUUGGCUAUACACUUGUACAAAACAUCAGACACUGCUUGUGCAACAGUCAAUGUUUCUACUUUACUACCCUUAAAAUAAGCGAAUAAAUAUAUAAAUAAAUCAUCCCACUUUUGGGCUUUUGUUGGAUCUAUAAAAGGUAUUAAUCAUGGUAGAUAACAUUACCUAAUGAUUUAAUGCCAUGCAGAUUACAUAUCAGCAAUGCUACCCUAAGAUUUGAAAGGUUUCCGUCUAAAAACUAAACAUACCUCACCUGAAAGUCACGUUUACUCAGAAGGAAUGUCAUGUAAAUUAAAUAAAUAUAUAUUAUUUAAGGGAAAUUACAAUAAUAACUUACGUUGGUUAACUGUCAGGCUUAUUCCAGCACCAAAGAAGAUUUUUCUGCCAUCUGUACUCACACAUCUAGACCCUGCCUAACAAAAACCUUCCACUUACAUAUGCCAUAAAAUAUUUUUAAAUAAUAACCCAGUACAGGAUUUUAAUAUUGUAGUAUUUUCUUUACUUUAUCCUUAAUUCUAUCACUCAAAAAAGUUAAUUAUUGUUUUGUUGAAUCUGCCUUUUUUUCCUAGUUUUAGCUUUUCCAGUUAUGGAUGGCAUAUUUUUUAAGAUAUUAGAUAUUACAUUUAGGCCUAUAUACUCACUUUAACUACAUUACUCAAUGUAUUGGACAGCAGUAUAGUAAUGAUCUUAAAGUACUUCCAGUAUUCAAUAUAAUCACAUUAUAUUGCAACACUUUUUUUUCGUAUUCCAUAUCAUCACAUCAACUUUCUAGUUUAACAUUAUCAGGUAGAAAAUACUUACCAGUUAAAACCACUACAUUGAUACCUUGGCCAAAGAAAAGUUUCAACCCUCCAGCCGUAUUAGU